GAGUUUGUAUCAUGGCUCAGGACGAACGCUGGCGGCGUGCCUAACACAUGCAAGUCGAGCGGGAGACAGUGAGUAGCUUGCUAUGAGCUGUUUAGCGGCGGACGGGUGAGUAACGCGUGAGCAACCUUUCCAGACAGGGGAAUAACGACACCGAAAGGUGUACUAAUACCGCAUAAGACCACGGGAUCACAUGGUUCCGGGGUAAAAGAUUU
rnacentral:rRNA from 1 species